rnacentral:rRNA from 1 species
UGUGUAGGCGGAACAUUAAGUCAGUGGUGAAAUCUUUCAGCUUAACUGGAAAACUGCCAUUGAUACUGCUGUUCUUGAGUUCAGUUGAGGUGGGCGGAAUGUGUAAUGUAGCGGUGAAAUGCUUAGAUAUUACACAGAACACCGAUUGCGAAGGCAGCUCACUAAACUGUUACUGACGCUGAGGCACGAAAGCGUGGGGAGCGAACAGGAUUAGAUAACCUGGUAGUCC